GCCUGCAGGUGCAUCUUUUCUGCAGAGCUUGGCCAGCAGCAUCCCUGGCUCUUGCCCUCCUCAGCCCCUUGCCUUGCAAUCUCCUCUCCCCAGUGAUUGAAAUCUUCGUGGCAGAGCCUUGUGGGGUUGCUCUUUAAAAAAAGGCUGUGCUGGUUUGGCUGGUUUCAGUGAGAGCAACAUGCUCUAAAAGCCAUUCCUGGGCUCCAAACAGCCCUUGGAAAAAGAGCUUCCCAGGCUUCUGGCUCAAGGGGUGCUCAUCAGAUAUAAGUGGUCACUCCUGGCACGAGGGCAGAGAGCUGCAGGAGUUUUAAGGAGACAAGUGGGUGUGCUUACAACAUGCCAACAAAGAACAAACUAUCUGGGAAUACUGGGAUGAGGCUUGAGGAGUUGCUUUUGGGUAAAGCCUUGGGAUUUCAACGUGGACUGCUGAGAAGGGAGCAUCACCUUGAUUUGGAGCUCCAGUCCAGAAAUCCUCAGGGUAAAAAAAACCACCUUGUGCAGCGAAAGUAAAGGCUGAAGUGGCUUUCAUGAAGCAGGCUUAGUUCCCCUGGAGGACUGACAUCCCCAUUUUUGAGGCCUAAUUGCAUGAAGUCUCCUGUGAUAAUUCCUUAGACAGCGAUGAAAAGCAGCUGGAGCCAGCCCCUGGCAUUGAGGGGUACGAGCCCAGCGGGUCGGAGCCGUGUCUUGAUAGGGCAACAAAGAAUUCCAAAGCCUUGGACAGCCGUGAUCCUGUCGGAUGUGCUUAGAGCCUUUCUUCAUCCAUUGCUGACACAGAUCCCCGGCGCUGAUCAAUAUUAAAAUGCUUCCCUGGAAGGUGUGUUUCCUGUACAAUUUGGGACGAUGUUGUGAAGAUAAAGGAGUGCUUUUGUAGGAAGUGCUGGUUGGUUUGGAGCGGAGGCAGUGUUUAUAAAAGCCCUCAGUCUGACCCGGGGCUGAUGACAUCAGCCUGGCCACACAGGGUGGUGGCAGGGGCCCAUCAGCAGCACCUGCCUUUGUGUGGAGGGACCACAAACCAGGCUCCCUGCAGCAGGAACCUGAAGGUUUUGUGUUCCUGGCUCCCCUUUUUCACUGGAUAU